UCCUCUUUGGAAAAGCGCUUCCAGAUAUUUCUAAUACAUACUUCAGAUUCUCUGCGUAACAUGCUUUCUCGUCUAAGCAUGAAAAGCUGAAAUAUUCUCGACUUUUAUUGCGAAGUUUGUCACGAUCUUAUUUUUGCAUUACAUUUUCAGACUUACUUUACAAGGCAGUCAUCCAAAGUAAACCAAAUAAUUCUUCACGAGUCACUGGCAGACUAGAUGCUAUUGACGUGCUCGUUAAUUCAACGACGCCGUCAUGCCUAGCGAUCAAAAGUUUUUUCGUUUCAUCGUUCAUUGAGUUCUUAGCGAAACUAAUGGUAGCUGCUUUGACGAAUAUCGCGGCGAACUGUUUUCAUCUCGAUCCUCGAACGUUCGUCAACGCAUUGGUUUAAACGUUCAGGAUUAAAUCUUCGAAAAAAAGAAGAUUGAAAGUGGAAAAUUAAAAAAGAAUAUUUUGUAUCACUUGCAGAAAGAAGAAAAAUUGCUGUGCAAGCUCGCGAAAAAUUGUCUAACGUGUACGACAAAGAAACCUUGAAACUACGUUUUUGGAAUUUUUCUUUGUCAAAAAAGAUAAAAACUUUUUUGAACGAGGAAUCACAAAGUUGCCCAAAAGGAAAGAUGCAGAAAAUGAGUCUAACAAGUGGAAACGCGCUAAGAGUCAUCGUGUUAUUUCCUUCCAACGUGUUUCUCAACGCCUGUCUGCAUCUGUAACCUUCGUCAGACACAAACCACAAGAUUUGCGUAGAUUUUCCUCUCGAGAUUUUGUCGUAGAAGUUAAUGUCUUAAGUAUCGUAGGGAUUCAACGUGCACGUCUUUCGUCAUUUCGUUGCAUCCACAGUCGCGUCAGUUUUCUCUCUUUGCACCUAUAGUGGCAAAUUACUAAGCUAAAAUUGAUAAUUUGACAGCUACGUCAAUCGAGAGCCACAUAUAUGCAUAAGGCGAGUCGCUAUGAAUCACUUUAGCAUUUCAAAUACACAACAUUUUUAUCGUCUUUCUUCAAGUCGUAAAUCAACAACGUCUCGAGCAUAAUGACGAGCGUCGUAGCACGUAAACUUGCUAAUUUUUGCGAUUUGCAAAAAAUUUAUUACCGAUACGUCAAGCAAUGGCGAACUUUCUGGAAAAUUACCAGAAUUCAUACAUUAACCU